AUUGAACGCUGGCGGCAUGCCUAACACAUGCAAGUCGAACGGUAACAGUCUCUAGCUUGCUAGAGAGCUGACGAGUGGCGGACGGGUGAGUAACGCGUAGGGAUCUGCCUUGGAGAGUGGGACAACUCGGGGAAACUCGGGCUAAUACCGCAUACGUUCUACGGAAGAAAAGGGGGCCUCUAUUUAUAAGCUCUCGCUCUAAGAUGAACCUGCGUCCGAUUAGCUAGUUGGUAAGGUAAAAGCUUACCAAGGCGACGAUCGGUAGCUGUUCUGAGAGGAAGAUCAGCCACACUGGGACUGAGACACGGCCCAGACUCCUACGGGAGGCAGCAGUGGGGAAUAUUGACAAUGGGGGCAACCCUGAUCCAGCAAUGCCGCGUGUGUG
rnacentral:rRNA from 1 species